GCGCAACUGAGUAUUGUAAUAUUGUUCCGGUUUUAGUUCUUGUGAACGUUGACAUCGAUUCGUUCCAAAUUUACACUAUCGGGGCAUAAUAGAGCAAUAUAAUUAGGUUUUACUCUUUGUUGGAUAGAAUGAGAAAAAGUACUCGUCGCAAGGUUAUACUGUUAGGGUGCAACUGAGUAGUCUAAUGUUGUUCCGGUUUUGGUUCUUGUAAAUGUUGACAUCGAUUCGUUCCAAAUUUAUACUCUCGGGGCAUAAUAGAACAAUAUAAAUAGGUUUUUCUCUUUUUUCGAUAGAAUGAGAAAAAAUACUCGUCGCAAAGUUAUACUGUUAGGGCGUAAUUGAGUAUUCUAAUGUUGUUCCGGUUUUGGUUCUUGCGAACGUUGACAACAAUUCAUUCCAAAUUUAUACUCUUGGGGCAUAAUAGAAUAAUAUAAUUAGGUUUUACUCUUUGUUCGAUAGAAUGAGAAAUCGUACUCGUCGCAAAGUUACACUGUUAGUUCGCAAUUGAGUAGUCUAAUGUUGUUCCGGUUUUUAUUCUUGUGAACGUUGACAUCGAUUCGUUCCAAAUAUACACUCUCUGGGCAUAAUAGGAGAAUAUAAUUAGGUUUUACGCUUUGUUCGAUAGAAAGAGAAAAAGUACUCGUUGCAAAGUUAUGCUGUUAGGGCGCAANNNNNNNNNNNNNNNNNNNNNNNNNCAUCGAUUCGUUCCAAAUUUAUACUCUCGGGGCAUAAUAGAACAAUAUAAAUAGGUUUUUCUCUUUUGUUCGAUAGAAUGAGAAAAAGUACUCGUCGCAAAGUUAUACUGUUAGGGCGUACCUGAGUAUUCUAGUGUUGUUCCGAUUUUUGUUCUUGUGAACGUUGACAUCGAUUCAUUCCAAAUUUACACUCUCGGGGCAUAAUAGAAUAAUAUAAUUAGGUUUUACUCUUUGUUCGAUCGAAUGAGAAAUAGUACUCGUCGCAAAGUUAUACUGUUAGUCCGCAAUUGAGUAGUCUAAUGUUGUUCCGGUUUUUGUUCUUGUGAAUGUUGACAUCAAUUCGUUCCAAAUUUACACUCUCUGGGCAUAAUAGAACAAUAUAAUUCGGUUUUACGCUUUGUUCGAUAGAAAGAGAAAAAGUACUCGUUGCAAAGUUAUACUGAUUGGGCGCAACUGAGUAUUGUAAUAUUGUUCCGGUUUUAGUUCUUGUGAACGUUGACAUCGAUUCGUUCCAAAUUUACACUCUCGGGGCAUAAUAAAAGAAUAUAAUUAGGUUUACUCUUUGUUCGAUUGAAUGACAAAAAGUACUCGUUGCAAAGUUGUACUGUUAGGGUGCAACUGAGUAGUCUAAUGUUGUUCCUGUUUUGGUUAAUGUGAACGUUGACAUCGAUUCGUUCCAAAUUUACACUCUCGGGGCAUAAUAGAGCAAUAUAAAUAGGUUUUUCUCUUUGUUCGAUAGAAUGAGAAAAAGUACUCGUUGCAAAGUUAUACUGCUUGGGCGCAACUGAGUAGUCUAAUGUUGUUCCGGUUUUGGUUCUUGUGAAUGUUGACAGCGACUUUCCAAAUUUACAGUCUCGGUGCAUAAUUGAACAAUAUAAUUAUGUUUUUCUCUUCGUUCGAUAGAAUGAGAAAAAGUACUCGUUGCAAAGUUAUAAUGCUAGGGCGCAACUGAGUAGUCUAAUGUUGUUCCGGUUUUGGUUCUUGUAAAUGUUGACAUCGAUUCGUUCCAAAUUUAUACUCUCGGGGCAUAAUAGAACAAUAUAAAUAGGUUUUUCUCUUUUGUUCGAUAGAAUGAGAAAAGUACUCGUCGCAAAGUUAUACUGUUAGGGC
rnacentral:lncRNA from 1 species